CAGCCGCCACGGUAAUACAGAGGGUGCAAGCGUUAAUCGGAAUUACUGGGCGUAAAGCGCGCGUAGGUGGUUUGUUAAGUUGGAUGUGAAAUCCCCGGGCUCAACCUGGGAACUGCAUCCAAAACUGGCAAGCUAGAGUAUGGUAGAGGGUGGUGGAAUUUCCUGUGUAGCGGUGAAAUGCGUAGAUAUAGGAAGGAACACCAGUGGCGAAGGCGACCACCUGGACUGAUACUGACACUGAGGUGCGAAAGCGUGGGGAGCAAACAGGAUUAGAUACCCGAGUAGUUCCUGUCUCUUAUAA
rnacentral:rRNA from 1 species